GAAAGAAAUACCAAGAAUUUGCUCAAGAAAAAAAUAUCUAGAUGAGAAGACCCUUUGAUUCUACAUAGACGAAAAGCAUACCAAAUGACAGAUUGGAUACAGAUUCUACAUGUUGUAUCCACCUGACAAAUCAUCUGAAAACAUAAAGAGGAUGAAGAAUACUUCUGAUAAAAAGUUGAACCAGUCUGGUUCAAAUAGCUGAUGAGCAGGUCAAUCCAACUUGAACAUGACAUUAUUUCCACAAGGAUGAAACCACGUCUCUGGUGUACUUAAGCACUGACAUGUUAAAGUCAACAGAAACGGGAACAUGUCAUACAUGCAGACUACAGUGUUGUGUUGCACAGUUCAGAAAACAUACAGCCACCGCUAACAUAAGUGCAAGCGAGUCGUCAAGAACUGAAGUCAACCACUCAGGGACUUUUCUGUUGGAUUAUGUUGGACUACAAACUGAUUAUUUGACAAAGGAAUCCCCCUUGAUGCUUGUUGGCUACCACUGAUGUGAAAUUAAGCAUUUAUUAUCCCAAUUACUUUUACAUAUUCUUGAUGAUAUUAG